ACUUAGAUAGCUUAAGAAGAGCUUGAUAUUGAAGAUAUCAUGGUAGUAUUAUUACUUUUAAGUA
rnacentral:tRNA from 1 species